AUUGAACGCUGGCGGCAGGCCUAACACAUGCAAGUCGAGCGAGCGGCGGACGGGUGAGUAAUGUCUGGGGAACUGCCUGAUAGAGGGGGAUAACUACUGGAAACGGUGGCUAAUACCGCAUACCAUCGGAUGUACCCAGAUGGGAUUAGCUAGUAGGUGGGGUAACGGCUCACCUAGGCGACGAUCCCUAGCUGGUCUGAGAGGAUGAUCAGCCAAACUGGGACUGAGACACGGCCCAGACUCCUACGGGAGGCAGCAGUGGGGAAUAUUGCACAAUGGGCGCAAGCCUGAUGCAGCCAUGCUGCGUGUAUGAAGAAGGCCUUAGGGUUGUAAAGCACUUUCAGCGGGGAGGCGUUACCCGCAGAAGAAGCACCGGCUAACUCCGUGCCAGCAGCCGCGGUAAUAC
rnacentral:rRNA from 1 species